GUGGGGAAUUUUGGACAAUGGGCGCAAGCCUGAUCCAGCCAUUCCGCGUGCAGGAUGAAGGCCUUCGGGUUGUAAACUGCUUUUGUACGGAACGAAAAGCCUCUGGUUAAUACCCGGGGGUCAUGACGGUACCGUAAGAAUAAGCACCGGCUAACUACGUGCCAGCAGCCGCGGUAAUACGUAGGGUGCGAGCGUUAAUCGGAAUUACUGGGCGUAAAGCGUGCGCAGGCGGUGAUGUAAGACAGUUGUGAAAUCCCCGGGCUCAACCUGGGAACUGCAUCUGUGACUGCAUUGCUGGAGUGCGGCAGAGGGGGAUGGAAUUCCGCGUGUAGCAGUGAAAUGCGUAGAUAUGCGGAGGAACACCGAUGGCGAAGGCAAUCCCCUGGGCCUGCACUGACGCUCAUGCACGAAAGCGUGGGGAGCAAACAGGAUUAGAAACCCUAGUAGUCC
rnacentral:rRNA from 1 species